rnacentral:rRNA from 1 species
AGAGUUUGAUCCUGGCUCAGGAUCAACGCUGGCGGCGUGCCUAAUGCAUGUAAGUCGCACGGUCGGUCUUCGGACCGGCAGUGGCGAACGGCUGAGGAACACGUACGAACCUGCCCUCCCGUGGGGAAUAACGCGCCGAAAGGGCUGCUAAUACCGCAUGUGGCCGCCUGGUGGCAUCACCGGGUGUCUAAAGCUUUAUGCGCUUCUGGAUGGGCUUGCGGCCUAUCAGGUAGUUGGUGGGGUAAUGGCCUACCAAGCCGACGACGGGUAGCUGGUCUGAGAGGACGAUCAGCCGGAUUGGGACUGAGAUACGGCCCAGACUCCUACGGGGGGCAGCAAUUAGGAAUCUUGCGCAAUGGGGGCAACCCUGACGCAGCGACGCCGCGUGCGGGAUGAAGGCAUUCGUGUCGUAAACCGCUUUUGACAGGGAAGAAGAAUUUGACGGUACCUGUCGAAUAAGCCCCGGCUAACUACGUGCCAGCAGCCGCGGUAAUACGUAGAGGGCGAGCGUUGUCCGAAGUUACUGGGCGUAAAGCGCGCGUAGGCGGUCAUUUAAGUUCGGGGUGAAAGGUUCAGCGCUCAACGCGAACAGUGCCUUGAAUACUGGGUGACUUGAGUUCGGGAGAGGGCAGUGGAAUUCCUGGUGUAGCGGUGAAAUGCGUAGAUAUCAGGAGGAACACCGAUGGCGAAGGCAGCUGCCUGGCCUAGAACUGACGCUGAGGUGCGAAAGCGUGGGGAGCGAACGGGAUUAGAUACCCCCGUAGUCC